rnacentral:lncRNA from 1 species
AAGAAGUUUUCAGCCUGCCUCUCGAAGCAUGCCGCCAAUACGCCCUACCCUUUUGGGCGACAGGAUAUUGAAGGCCCGGACAGGAAGUGAACGGAAACAUGAUUUUGACAUAUCUUACUAGUUUUUUGGAAUUCCGACACAAAUCUAAGUUCUAACAAAUAGCACGGUAUAAUAUAUGUUGGAAGGAAAACAGAAGGAUGCUUGCCGAAGAGCAAGAUGCAGAUAUUUGGGCAAGUUAGGUUUAAAAGAAUGCGAUACUAUUGUGGUGAAAAUGACAGAUCACAAAUGCAAAUAUGUGGCUUCUCUUCAAUCAC